GCACUGUUGAUGAGUCGCACAAUAAGACGAAACGGCAGUCCAGUGC
rnacentral:hammerhead_ribozyme from 1 species